rnacentral:rRNA from 1 species
UACGGAGGGCGCGAGCGUUAAUCGGAAUCACUGGGCGUAAAGCGCACGUAGGCGGCUUGAUAAGUCGGGCGUGAAAGCCCUCGGCCCAACCGAGGAAUUGCGUUCGAUACUGUUUGGCUUGAGUCCUGGAGAGGGUGGCGGAAUUCCGGGUGUAGGAGUGAAAUCCGUAGAUAUCCGGAGGAACACCGGUGGCGAAGGCGGCCACCUGGACAGGUACUGACGCUGAGGUGCGAAAGCGUGGGGAGCAAACAGG